AACUCAAAUAUGAUAUUGUUUAGAGACUGCAUGUAGACUAUUUGCAGGGAUCAGAUAUGGAAGCGAAUAGCUUUGAUUUCCAGCCAGAGAGUGGUUUCUUUGGUCAGACAUUUAACAAUCAUUUUGUCGUCCAUGCUGACAAAAAGUCUGGAGGUUGCUGAGCCCACAAACAGCGGCAGAAGUACUACAGCAUACAAACAGUAUGAACACCAUGGUAGGCCCGCACACACAAGACAAGGGUGGUCCUCUCUAACAAUGAUCUGAGAAUCAUCUCGAGACAGGAGGAUGAUAUCUUUGAGGAGUUGUUCCAGCGACAGUUGGAUGCAGUCCAGAGAUCAAGACAGUUGUAUGCAGCCAGAUGUUGACAGUUGUAUACAGUCAGAUCUCGACAGUUGUUUGCAGUCCGGAGAUCUCGACAGUUAAUAUGCAGUCAGGAGAUCUCGACAGUUGUAUGCAGCCCUGGGAUCGCAGCAGUAGUAUGCAGUCCGGGGAUCUUGACAGCUGUAUGCAGUUCGGAGAUAUUGACAGUUGUAUGCAGCCAGGAGAUCUCAGUUCUUUUUGUACUGAUGGCCUUCUCAAGAUUCAGUCUCAAAUAGAAAUAACUUGGACUGCUUAAAAGUUCUCUAUAUCUUGCAGAUGUGCAGCCUGCGACAUUCUUAUAUAGAAGACAUGUGUGUGAAAUACAAUGAAUAUGAACUGCCACUGUUCAAAUUUGAAAUGUUUCAAGAAAUGUUUUUAUCACAGUGAGACUGAAAAUAAGAAAUCAUAAGGAAGUAAGCUAUGGACAUUUGAACAAAGACCAGUGACAUUUUGGUUUGGCACAGUCGAAAAUAAUGAUGGACCACAAACUGGACACCCUGAAAACUGGAAUAAUGUUGUUUGAAUAAAAAAAAAAUUUAUUAUUUGUAAAAAAAAUACCUUGCAUGUCCCGUCUUAAAAAUUUUGGUAGUUGUUUUUACCAAAGGCCCUUUAAUUGACUUGGGUAUUACUUAAAUUUCAUAUUGUUUGAUUGCUUUACAUAAAUUUUAAACUGAUCAAUGUAUUGUGAAAAUGAUGCACUUGGGCUUACUGUAGGGACUUUACCUUUGUCAGUAUUCGAAUUUUUGUACGUCAGUCUUUGAAUUUUUGUAAUGUUGCACAUGUUUUGCAGUUCUCAUGAGAUGUAGUUAACAACUGACAGUCGUUAUAUGUAUGGAGGCUUGUUUUGUGUCGAAAUAUAAAGAUCUAAUUAUAUUCUUUCUUUAGUACAUAUUUUGAGUUAAUAUGAAUCGGACUGUAUAGACAGCAAAAAGUAUUGAUUGGAAUCUUUGAUUUUUGUGAGUCUGCUUUGAAAAAUCACAAUACCUCAUCAUUCCUAACAGUCUGAUGUAACAUCGUAGUUUUUAAAGAAUUUACUGUGUAAUGAAAUAUAGAUUUUGACAUAAGAUCAAACAUUUGCAAAAGUACCAAUAUUGUGUCAUGUAUUGAGCUAUAUAUAUGUAUUAUACUGGAUCAACCAUUCAUGUACAAUCAGAAGAACUAUUUAAGGAGCUCACCUGGAUGAAAUUCCAUGAUCUAAUUGACUACAAAAAAAGCAAUCUUGGUGAAUCUUUAAAUGGGUUGAGCCCUGAUUAUCUUAAAGUUUAAAUACUCUCAAAGUAAGUUGUUAAGAUCUUUUUACAUUGUUGUUGUUUGUUCAAUAUGUUUAUAAAUGAAAAAGUAUAAAUGUCUAAACAAAUGUAAAUGAUCCUGAAUGUUUUGGGUUUUUUUUCAACCAUUCAUUUCAAUGGAGUAAAAAUUAUUUUCAAAUGUUAACAGGCUUUGUCUUUAUA
rnacentral:lncRNA from 1 species